GCAGGGCAUGGAUGCGUGCACUGCUGCGUUUGCUGCGGUUACACAGGGCUGUCAGCACUGUGAUGGGAAUGCUGGGGAGGCAGCAGAGAAGCUGAAGAGGUGAAGCAAUUUAGGACACAACCCAAAGGUUAUCCAAGCCAUCAGGAAGCUUCACGUUGGUUCCUGCAGCCUUUGGCAAAGGCGUCCCCUCACUGCAACCACAUCUGAGCCACUGCAACAGGCAUUUCUUAAUAGCGCUGAGAAGAGAAACAGAAGAAAAUUUCUUUGAAGGUUACCAGGUGAGUCUUUCCUGUGGAUAACUUGCCACAUUCUGAUCAUGGAUGUAAAACCUAAGCUCAUACUGCAUCUAAAAAAGCAUCUUUAUCAGUUCAAAGCUAAGACUGAAGGAGGAGGAAACAGCAGGAAAAGGUCAGCUGCAGGAAUUUGGAUUGGUGCAGCUGUGCAAUGGAAGAUGAAAUAUGGAAGACCUUUUCUCAUAGGCAAUUAUCACCAUGAUGUGAACAAGCAUUUAGCAGCUUCCUGACCGAACAAGGGAUGGGUAUGGGUGAUGAGAGGUAAGUCCCUUGACACAAUGCUUGUUAAACAUAGAGCAGUUGCAGCUUAAAAUGCCAUCUCAGACAGGGUAGCAAAACGAGCUGGAAGUGUCCCAGCUCCAACUGCUGCCCUUGGAGAGACCAAGUGCAAAGGAUACUUUGAUGGAAGCUGUCAUGAAGAC